UGUCCAGACUCCUACGGGAGGCAGCAGUGGGGAAUAUUGGGCAAUGGACGCAAGUCUGACCCAGCAACGCCGCGUGAAGGAAGAAGGCUUUCGGGUUGUAAACUUCUUUUGACAGGGAAGAGUAGAAGACGGUACCUGUCGAAUAAGCCACGGCUAACUACGUGCCAGCAGCCGCGGUAAUACGUAGGGAGCGAGCGUUGUCCGGAAUUACUGGGUGUAAAGGGAGCGUAGGCGGGGAUGCAAGUUGGGUGUCAAAACUACCGGCUCAACUGCGGGACUGCUUUGGAAACUGUUCAACUGGAGUGCUGGAGAGGUAAGCGGAAUUCCUAGUGUAGCGGUGAAAUGCGUAGAUAUUAGGAGGAACACCAGUGGCGAAGGCGGCUUACUGGACAGUAACUGACGUUGAGGCUCGAAAGCGUGGGGAGCAAACAGGAUUAGAUACCCCCGUAA
rnacentral:rRNA from 1 species